AGAGCGAACGCUGGCGGCAGGCUUAACACAUGCAAGUCGAGCGCCCCGCAAGGGGAGCGGCAGACGGGUGAGUAACGCGUGGGAACGUACCUUUUGGUUCGGAACAACACAGGGAAACUUGUGCUAAUACCGGAUAAGCCCUUACGGGGAAAGAUUUAUCGCCGAAAGAUCGGCCCGCGUCUGAUUAGCUAGUUGGUGAGGUAACGGCUCACCAAGGCGACGAUCAGUAGCUGGUCUGAGAGGAUGAUCAGCCACAUUGGGACUGAGACACGGCCCAAACUCCUACGGGAGGCAGCAGUGGGGAAUAUUGGACAAUGGCGCAAGCCUGAUCCAGCCAUGCCGCGUGAGUGAUGAAGGCCCUAGGGUUGUAAAGCUCUUUUAACGGGGAGAUAAUGACGGUACCGUAGAAUAAGCCCGGCUAACUUCGUGCCAGCAGCCGC
rnacentral:rRNA from 1 species